rnacentral:rRNA from 1 species
AGAGCGAACGCUGGCGGCAGGCUUAACGCAUGCAAGUCGAACGGACUCUUCGGAGUUAGUGGCGGACGGGUGAGUAACACGUGGGAACGUGCCUUUAGGUUCGGAACAACACAGGGAAACUUGUGCUAAUACCGGAUAAGCCUUUCGAGGGAAAGAUUUAUCGCCUUUAGAGCGGCCCGCGUCUGAUUAGCUAGUUGGUGAGGUAAAGGCUCACCAAGGCUACGAUCAGUAGCUGGUCUGAGAGGAUGGCCAGCCACAUUGGGACUGAGACACGGCCCAAACUCCUACGGGAGGCAGCAGUGGGGAAUCUUGCGCAAUGGGCGAAAGCCUGACGCAGCCAUGCCGCGUGGAUGAUGAAGGUCUUAGGAUUGUAAAAUCCUUUCAGCGGGGACGAUAAUGAUGGUACCCGCAGAAGAAGCCCCGGCUAACUUCGCGCCAGCAGCCGC